GCUGGUUCGUAAAUGGGAGCAGUGAGGCAGCAGCAGGUAAGAGAGAGGCUGCCUCCGCUCUGCGGCCACCCACAUCUGUGUUCCCUUUAGCACAGGAGGAAGCCAGCAAGAGCAAGGGGAAGAUGGAUAAUUCAUCACACAGGUCGUGACUCAAGGCUCCUCAUCAAGAUGGUGGCACCAGCACAAGAUAAUCCACAGCUCUCAGCAACCACCUGCCCCAGACCAGCUCCAUGGAGGAGGGCACUCGGCAGAGGACUCUACAGACCCCACAUCAGAACAGAAGCAGCUGCUCCCCUCCCCAUCAUAGACUCUGUGUACCCCCUAAGGAAGCAUGUGAACUGUGAACUGUUAGGGACCACCUGGUAUCUUCAGCCAGUGGCGUCUCCCGCUGGAAUAUAAACGUGUGCCUUUUCAGUGCA